CAAUGGUUCUCGCUAAACCAUGUCCCUCCACACAACAUCCAAACAUUCUCUGAACACCACCAGGCUCGGUGACUCCACCACCUCUCUGGGCAGCCCAUUCCAGUGCCUGACCACCCUUUCAGAGAAGCAGUAUUUCCUAACGUCCAGCCUGAACCUUCCCUGGCGCAGCUUGAAGCCAUUCCCUCUCGUCCUAUCACUAGUCACACGAGAGAAGAGGCUGACCCCCAGCUCACUACAACCUCCUUUCAGGACAGUUUCAGAACAGACUGGGAUUUCUCUGAAAGCCAAAGGCCAGGAAAAAAGGAUUAAAUCACCAUGUUACAAAGCCAUGAUAUCUAGGUUGGAGGUCUGCAUGGAUUGAAAGGGGAUGCAUUCCCCCCUUCGAAGCAGGAAGCUAACCUGUCCAUAAGAGCUCAUGAGAACGUGAAUUCAAAGUCAGGAGCAAUAGUAGGAGUACUGGGGCUGACAUGGAGCAUCACUGUGCUACCUGGGCAUCCGGACCCACCAUCACAUCAGCCUGAGAUUUUCUGUGAUCACUGACACAGCAGACAGAAGAAUUAAAACCUGAAGGAGGCUCUCAGGUGACAAAUGAGGUCUUGUCAAGGAGACUAAUAUCUCUUUUUCCACGUUCCAGUCUGUGAUCAUGGGAAGCUUCCUGGCUUUGGAGUAAGGUA
ensembl:lncRNA